GAUGAACGCUGGCGGCGUGCCUAAUACAUGCGAGUCGGGCGAACGGACGAGAAGCUUGCUUCUCUGAUGUUAGCGGCGGACGGGUGAGUAACACGUGGAUAACCUACCUAUAAGACUGGGAUAACUUCGGGAAACCGGAGCUAAUACCGGAUAAUAUUUUGAACCGCAUGGUUCAAAAGUGAAAGACGGUCUUGCUGUCACUUAUAGAUGGAUCCGCGCUGCAUUAGCUAGUUGGUAAGGUAACGGCUUACCAAGGCAACGAUGCAUAGCCGACCUGAGAGGGUGAUCGGCCACACUGGAACUGAGACACGGUCCAGACUCCUACGGGAGGCAGCAGUAGGGAAUCUUCCGCAAUGGGCGAAAGCCUGACGGAGCAACGCCGCGUGAGUGAUGAAGGUCUUCGGAUCUUAAAACUCUGUUAUUAGGGAAGAACAUAUGUGUAAGUAACUGUGCACAUCUUGACGGUACCUAAUCAGAAAGCCACGGCUAACUACGUG
rnacentral:rRNA from 1 species